GUGACCUACGGGAGGCAGCAGUCGGGAAUAUUGCGCAAUGGAGGAAACUCUGACGCAGUGACGCCGCGUAUAGGAAGAAGGUUUUCGGAUUGUAAACUAUUGUCAUUAGGGAAGAUAAAAGACUGUACCUAAGGAGGAAGCCCCGGCUAACUAUGUGCCAGCAGCCGCGGUAAUACAUAGGGGGCAAGCGUUAUCCGGAUUUACUGGGUGUAAAGGGAGCGUAGACGGCUAAUCAAGUCAGAAGUGAAAACCCAGGGCUCAACCUUGGGAGUGCUUUUGAAACUGAGUAGCUAGAGUGCAGGAGG
rnacentral:rRNA from 1 species